rnacentral:rRNA from 1 species
UAACGCGUGGAUAACCUGCCGUAUACCGGGGGAUAACACUUAGAAAUAGGUGCUAAUACCGCAUAAGCGCACGGCUCCGCAUGGGGCAGUGUGAAAAACUCCGGUGGUAUACGAUGGAUCCGCGUCUGAUUAGCUAGUUGGCGGGGUAACGGCCCACCAAGGCAGCGAUCAGUAGCCGGCCUGAGAGGGUGGACGGCCACAUUGGGACUGAGACACGGCCCAAACUCCUACGGGAGGCAGCAGUGGGGAAUAUUGCACAAUGGGGGAAACCCUGAUGCAGCGACGCCGCGUGAGUGAAGAAGUAUCUCGGUACGUAAAGCUCUAUCAGCAGGGAAGAAAAUGACGGUACCUGACUAAGAAGCCCCGGCUAACUACGUGCCAGCAGCCGCGGUAAUACGUAGGGGGCAAGCGUUAUCCGGAUUUACUGGGUGUAAAGGGAGCGUAGACGGCAGCACAAGUCUGGAGUGAAAUCCCGGGGCUUAACCCCGGAACUGCUUUGGAAACUGUGCGGCUGGAGUGCAGGAGGGGUAAGCGGAAUUCCUAGUGUAGCGGUGAAAUGCGUAGAUAUUAGGAGGAACACCGGUGGCGAAGGCGGCUUACUGGACUGUAACUGACGUUGAGGCUCGAAAGCGUGGGGAGCAAACAGGAUUAGAUACCCUGGUAGUCCACGCGGUAAACGAUGAAUACUAGGUGU